rnacentral:rRNA from 1 species
UACGUAGGUGGCGAGCGUUGUCCGGAUUUAUUGGGCGUAAAGCGCGCGCAGGCGGUCGCGUAAGUCUGCUGUGAAAUCUCCCUGGCUCAACCGGGAGGGGGCGGCGGAGACUGCGGGACUGGAGGGACCUAGAGGCCGGUGGAAUUCCAGGUGUAGCGGUGAAAUGCGUAGAUAUCCGGAGGAACACCGGUGGCGAAGGCGGCUUCCUGGACCGACACUGACGCUGAGGCGCGAAAGCUAGGGGAGCAAACGGG